rnacentral:lncRNA from 1 species
ACACAUGCAUACACAUAUAUAUACAUAUAUAUUUGUAUAUAUAUAUUAGUAUGGGCAUGUAUGUAUACAUCACUGUUUCAAGCUAUUUCUAUGACAUUGUUAACUUUCUACACGUCCACAUACAUUGCUUAUAAUCAUUGUCAUAAUGUAUAUAUACAUUUUAUACCCAGCUCCCUGUUAUAUAUAUAUAUAUUGUACAAACACAGAGAAAAAAAAAAAAGGCGGGCAAUGUAUUCCUGCCCUCUCUUCUACAGAAUCAGACAUAAACCAAGAAGGGAGCCUCUACAUUCAAAUUGCUAGAAAUAGCAGCUAAAUCUCCCUCAGUCACAUCCCAUCAUCUCAGACAAAACGACCACAUUGCACAAUGAAAGAGUGGAUUUAAAAACAAAAGACAGAUGCUCAUUGCAAGAACGCCUUUUGGUCUGACGUCUGCUUGUUCAGGGCUGACCUGUUGCUAAGCAACAACAACAACAACAACACCAGAAACAAACCCAAAAGGUUGACUGCAGCAGGAUCAAUAACAACAACAACAACAACAGUUACAGCCUCUGGUCCACAUCUCUACUGCCACAUGUUGCUACUUGAUUAUCAUGGAUGAUAGAAUGGAGGUAGGUCAGGUUUAUUGAUAUAAUUUAUCUUUAAUGUAACAAAUCAGUUCUUCUCUUACCUUCUCUCUCUCUGACACAUACUGUCUCUAUCUAUCCAUCAGUCUGUCUGUCUGUCUAUCUAUCUAUCUAUCUAUCUAUCUAUCAUCUAUUUAUCUGUCUGUCUGUCUGUCUGUCUAUCUAUUUAUGUUUCUAUCUAUCAUUGCUAUUAUGUUAAACUGUCGUAUUUCCCAAUUUGACCAAAUGCUUGCAAUAGCUGGUUCUUUUGCUCAAACUAUCAUAUCUCCAGCUUCUUCAGAUGAAAACUGUCAGAGUGUAGUAGAAUGGUUUAGCGCUCUUCGAAAGUGUAGUAAAUCCCACAUUCGACAGUUUUGAAAAAAGUAUUUCUUACUGAAAAUAUCAUACAUGCAUGGAGCUACGAUUUUAUGCACCCAACAAAGUAUUAUUGUUAAACUGAAAUUGUUACUAAUGUAAAGAGGAAUGGAAUGGUGAAACUAUUUUUUCAUUUUCUGUAAAAGCAACGUUUUGGACUUUUGCAUAAUAGCAACGAUGUAUGUAUCUUUUUUUAUUAAUAUUAUCAGAAGCAACAGAAUAACUCAAUGUCUAAAAGUUUCAUGCAUUGGCACUUAUUAAACUAGUGAUAUAUAUAUACAUGUAUAUAUAUAUAUAUAUAUAUACACGUCACAUAUAUAUAACAUGAUGUGCAAGCUGGGAGUGGCUUCAACAAAAAAUUAUUUUAUAUAGCCAAGAUCCACCCAGCACACAACAGGGUGGAACUAAUGAUAAAUUAACCUAGUUUUCAUGAAUCAUAAUGUAGAGACCAUUACAAAUAUAGGCAAGAAUUCUUUAACAUUACUUUCAAACUACACACCACAUAGACCAUAAGCUGUUCAACUCACCCAAUGUUAAACUUAGUCAUUCCUGUCCAGACAACAUAGCUUCCUAAAUCAGAGACUGCAAUAACCAUCCAGAUUCUAGACAGUCACCAUCAUCCAGCUUGCAACAGCUAAAAUCCUUGCUUCUCUAAGUCUUAUUUCAAGUGGCCAAAACUGAGGAUAGUUUUAAGAAGAAUUAUAAGGGCUUAACAGAUAGCACUUUCAAGGGCUACUUUCUUCAAUAUCUUCAAUGAUUCAGGCUAAAGAAUGGGGAAAAUUCCACUCUUCUGUUACAAUUCAUUAAAAAAGUUAGGGACGAGGGAAUAACAUGUCUUCCUUUGAUGAAGCUAAGCCAGAUUUUGCCUAAUUGAAGAAUUCCACAUUUUGAAUCCACGUGCAAUGUCUCUUAACUUGAAAUCAGAUGAAUUGUCCCAUUAUUGCUACUGACAGAAGUUCCUUUCAGAACUCUUCUAAAAUGUUCAGAUGUCCUAAUGUUACAACUCAAAGAAAUUACUUCUAAAACGGUUUCCUCAUUGCAGAGUAAUUACCCUUGAAGGCAAACAUUGGGAGUUGCUUCUCUUCUUCAUACACAACUUCAACAAUAUUAUUAAUCUUCACCAAUGGAAACUGAGAUAAAUUUUAAGUAUAGGGAGAUCGAGUUUGCUAUCUAUACACAUGUGUAAAUAGCAUCAUCAUCAUUUAAUGCCUGUUUUCUAUGCUGGCAUGGCUCAGAUGGUUUUACAGGAGCUGUUAAGCUGCACCAGGCUUCAGUCAUCCGCUUUGGCAUGGUUUCUACAGCUGGAUGCCUUUCCUAACACCAACCACUCCAAGAGUGGACUGGGUGCUUUUUAUGUGUUGCCAGCAUGGGCGCUUUUUGUGUGAUAUCAUGUUUGUGUGUGAGUGUGUGUAUUGUGUUUAAAGUUAUAACUAGCAGUUAGAUAUUUCUGAAGUGUGGCCCAUUGGUGUCACCCUAUAAAUUGAAACUGAGUUCAUCAUAUUUACCUGUACAAACUGAUUCCUAUUACCUGUCUCAGUAUUAUAGUAGAAUUAUUACCAUACCAGACCAAAUACUUAGCAGCGAUUCUUCUGGCUAUUUAUGUUCUGAAUACAAAUGUUGCCAAAGGAGACUUUGUCUUCAUUUUUUCAAGGUUGAUACAAUAAGUACCCACUGCAUACUGGGGUCAGGCUGACGUAAUUGACUUCCUUCCCCUCUCAAAACUGCUGGCUUUCUCUCAAAAAUUAGAAAGCAUUAUUUCAUCUAACUCGUAUAUUCCAAAACAUGUUUUCAUAUACUUGUGGCUAGUACGUUCCAUCUGCAACAUGUUGUAGAAUAUUAUAGGUUCUGUUAUACACCUUGAGCCUAACUUCCUAUGUGCAACAAGAUAAUCAUAUUUAGAAGAGGAAAUACUCAAUGUGUUUCCAUUGUUGGUGCCAUCUACCAUUCAGAUUUAAGGGUUUGGCAGUUUCUAGACCAGCAGAACCUCUUCUGAUUACUUGUGGCUUCACUAUUGGUUUGGCAUGAUGUGGUGAAUCAUGACGGUCAGGUUUUGGGUCUCAUGGAGGUGAUGACAAGUGACGAAGGUCUUUGAGGAUUUGCUGUGCUUGAGAAGACUCGUCAAGCCUAGUGUAAUUGUAGUCAUGACCAGUGCUGGUGAUGUAUAAAAGGCACUCGUGCCGGUGAAGAACGGUUGGCGUUAGGAAGGGCAUAAAGCUGUAUAAACCAAACCAAAUCAGACUGCAACUUGGUACAGCUCUCCAACUUACCAGUUCCAGUCAAACCUUCUAACCCAUGCCAGCAUGGAAAAUGGAUGCUAAAUGAUGAUGAUUGUGAUAAUGAUGUGUAUAUUUCAUUAAGGUACUUCAGUGAUGGUUCCUUAUUUUCUGUCCCUAAUACAGCUUCUUGAUUACAUUUAGUGCCUCUUAUUCAGGUGUUGAAAGAGAAACACGUUAACCUAAAUUCCUUUCUUACAAUUCACUUGCUGCACAGAUUUUCUUCAACUCUGGCAAUAUGUUUCUACAACUAAUUUUUGGUUUUGCAAUGCUUGUUGAUAUCUGCAGUCUUUCCAAAAUGUUUCUUGUGGACAUUCUGAACAGUUACAGCUGAUUCAAACUUAUUUCUAGCUCAAGCGAUGCUUAAGUGAGAAAUUUCAUUUCUGUCCCAUGGGAGAUUUGAAACAAGGAAAUUAUAGAUUCAAAGUGUAACAGUUAUUAUGGGGGGAGAGGGGGUAUGAUAAGAAUUUAAAGCAUCCACACACACACACAUUAUCAAUCUAAUCUAUGUUUCUUUUUUUCCAGAGAUGACCUCACAGCUGAACCCAUCUGACCCAACUCUACAAAUCUUAUAUUCUCAAAUGUGUUUCCUACACCUUUAUUUAGGGAACAUUGCAGCUGACUUCUCACUAAGCAAUAAUGUUGAGUUCCAGGGUUCAAAUCAUGGUACAUCUCACCAAUUUCACCAUCAACAUGGACAGACACAUCACACCCUUCCUUGCUCAAUGAAACAGUAUUAUGAACUCAGCCCCACCUCCCCACCUCAUGCUUUUGUGCCUCACUUCCAUCUCUUAAAAACAACAUUAAUGCUUUAAAUAAAUAUGUCACUAAAACUUGGAAGCUGUGUGCUGAUCAGAGGAGGUUUUGGGACAACCUUCCUCUCCCCUGUCUGUGCAUUUAAAGGAGAUUUCUUUUUUCCACUGUGGUCAAGGAUUCUGGUAGCCCAGUGUUGUCAGCCACAACUACUGUGUCUUUGUCAUUAAGGGUCACUAACAAGACAUCAGCACCGAUGCCGACUGUCCACUUAGAGAAGAACAGAACACUGGACGUACUAUUAUUGAUUAUCCUUGUAGUAGCAGCUGUAAUAGUAGCUGUGGUGAUUGUAGUGUCGAUCACACUGUGUAUUGUGAAAUGUAGCAGUGGUCAGUCUCGCUCUGCCAAGAGCACUAGGAAAGGUGUUAAUAGGUCAGCUAUAUGUAACAGAAUUGAUCAACCUUUACCAUGUCAGAGCAGCAGUAUUCCUGGUACCCCAGUGAGGUACUCUUCUGAGAUGAAUAAUAGAAACAUGCCAUUUGUGGAAUGUAAGGAAGAUUUCUACCCGCAGUUUGAAACACAACAUGUGCCCUGCAAGAAAAGAUAUCUAGUUGUGACAGAGGUCAAUGUAGGCUAACACAGGUAUGCCAGAAGAAAAGAGACCCAGUUAUGACAGAGGUAAAUAUUCAUAAAAUAUUUCAAAUAUCUUCAUUUUAUUCAUUUAAUGUUGCCAUUUCUGUGUUGAAGUAAAACCUCUUCCCUUACACCCGACUGCAUUUUAGCCUACCCUUAUGUUAACCCAAAUAAUGUCCAUGUUACCCUACUUUAGUUUCAUGUUACCCCAUACUAUGUUACUGAUACCCCAUGCUCGUUUUAUGUUAUCCCAUACAUUCUUACUGUUAGACCAGUCUGACUGUUAUGUUAACCCAAUUUUCAUUAUCCCACAUUAGUUUUAGAUUAUCCCAAAGAUUUCUUUGACUAUUUUGCACUUGUGCCAUUUCUUGUAAUCCUAUUGAUGAAUAUAUGUCCUCUUUAAUCAUAUAUAUAUAUAUAUAUACACACACACAUAUAUGUAUCUAUGUGUGUGUGUAUAUCUGUGCAUGUAUUUGUGUCUGUGUAUAUAUAUAUAUAUAUAUAUAUAUAUAUAUAUAUAUAUGUAUAUGUGUGUGUGUAUGUAUACACAUACAUAUCAGAGGUGACUCCAGGUCAUCAGCAUCACUCGGGCUCAUCACAGAUUUUGCAUAAGACACAUGUAGAAAAGGAAGUAAGAGACAUGAUGCACACUGCAAACUUACAUGUGCACUGAUAGUUCAACAAUAAGACAAAUAUAGUUUUAAUAUGUCUUUCUCCAUUUCUAAGAACAGCAAUCAAAUAAUGACACUAGGGUGCACAACAAACAUCACCUGUCUGACUGUCACCUGUACUCUUGACAACAGAUGCCAGUUAGUCUUCUACACCUACCAGACUCACUUGUAUUAACUCGAGUUGCUGGAUAAUUUUUCGUUUAAGAAUAUUGUAGAACGGAAACUUUUCACAGAUUAGAAUUUAAAUCCUAAUCUCUAUAGAAAUUUAUUGUCUCAGGAAAAAACUGAAUUUGAAUUACUUUUAAUUUUUACGAUUAUAGAUAACAACUCGGGCUGUAACUUCUGAGACUGAGUCAGGCACAUGUGAAUGAUGUCGAGAGAACGUCUGCUGUGAAUGAUAUUUUUUGAUACAGGGCACCUCUAGACGACCACCAGAGGCUGACCGAAAAUAAAUGAACUGUGACCAGGCUCAAUCAAAGGAGCCCAAGUUAUUGGCUGCAGUUACACACUUGAAGCCAGUGUUGGCAGAAAUGAAAUCAGCUUGAAAAUACACGUUCACUUCACUAGAUUUAUGCUCCAGCUAAGCCUGAACAACCCAAGUGCUGGAGUCACCACUGAUACACACACACACACACACACACACGUAUAUAUAUAUACAUACACACAUAAAUAUAUACAUAAGUAUAUACUACAAAAUUAGAGAAUGGAGAAACAUACUUAAAUCAAUAAAACAUCAACUAUCCGAUGAUACCCAAUCAAUACUUUAAUACACCAUUACAUAUGAGUAGAGGCAUUAUACAAAAAGAGAUAUACAUUAAUAGUAGAAAGAUAAAGAGAUAUAAGUAAAAAAUUUCAAAUAUAAUAUGCAAUUAAUCAAAACUGACAGCUGUUUUGGCAGUGAGGGCAGUCAUACCUCAUUUAACCUAUAAGCCAUAAAGGCAGGUAUAAAUGAGGCAUUAACAAGGAUGCCCCACGGCCUCUUCAGAGAAUUAAAUUAAAUUUGUUAUAAUUGUGAAAAAUAUUAUAUAUUACAUAAGUAUAUAUAUAUGUAUGUACAUAUAUGCAUGCAUGUAUAUGUGUGUGCGUGUAUGUAUUUAUAUAUAUAUAUGUAUAUAUAUAUAUAUAUAUAUAUAUAUAUAUAUAUAUAUAUAUAUAUGUAUUAUAUAUAUGUGUAUGUCCUCUUUAAUAUUUCAGGUAUCAACUGGACCAAAGCAAUCUCUUCUACUCGACACACACUGCAACACAGGACACAUUCUAAAUAUUAAUAAAUUAAGAUUUAGAUGCAGGUAUAUGUAAGCAACACAUGUAAAUGCAAAUACACAUACGUGCUCAUUAAACACUUGCAUACACACACUCACAUAUUCAACCCACCAUCACACACACACACACACACAGACAUGUAUGUAUAUUUGCAGCACCCAGAAACAGCCCAGAUUAGGGCAAAACUCAGACAAACUGUCAACUUUUUUAUACAAUAAGUAUAUGUGUGUUUGUGUGAAGGUGUAUCUACAUUAAUAUACAUAAAUAUUGAUGUGUGUGUGUAUGUAUGUAUAUAUAUAUAUAUAUAUAUAUAUAUAUAUAUAUAUACAUAUAUAUACACAUAAACAUAUAUGUAUAUAGAAGCAUAUGUAUGUGUGUGUGUCUAUAUAUAUAUAUAUAUAUAUAUACACACACACAUGUAUGUGUGCAUGUGUAUUAUUUUACAAGCAGAUUCCAUUCUGAUGAUGCCAACCAAUUUAGUUGCUUCUCACAGCAUGCAGGGAUACAGUAUACCAAUUGUAACACCAAUGUACAAACACUGGUUUUAUGUUUAUGUACAUAUAUAUAUAUAUAUAUAUAUAUAUAUAUACACACAAACCUAUAUAUAUAUAUUAUAUAAAUAUAUAUAUACAUAUAUAUAAACAUUUAUAUAUUUAUAUUUAUAUUACAUAAUGGUACUUUAAAUGAUUGUUUUUUUUUUAUAAUUCUAAAUAUUUCAUUGUAUAUUAGCAAUUUUGAGAUGUAAAAAGUAAAAAAAAAAAACCACCUUCGUGAGUUGAAACAUACAAUUGUCACGUCUCUGUUACUGACCACAAUAUAUGUGCAUAUUCAUAAAUACAUAGAGACAUGCAUGUAUAUAUAUAUAUGCAUAUAGCAAGAGAAAAAGAGGGAAAGAGAGAUAGAGAGAGUGAGAAUGAUAUCUUUGUAUGAAUAUAUAUGUAAUAUAUAUAUAUAUGAAUAUCUGUAAAUGAUAAUUAUGACUAUAUAUAGACAUAUAAAUGUAUAUGUGUGUAUAUAUGUUAGCACUGUUUCCAUAACUGUUUCACUAUCAAUGAAUUAAAGUCGUUUAUUCGUUAUUUGUUCAACUGUUUAAUUUUAAUAUCAAAGUCUAUACGAUAACCUCUAUUUGUCUUUCCAGUUAUCUCAACAUCAAUGUGGUAGAGAUUGUCUCCCCUUGCUUGGUUAUAUAUUAUUAUAUAAGAAUGUAAUAAAAAAAACAUCUUAACUCCCCGCCCCCACCCCACUGCAAACUGUUGGCUUUCUUCAUGAAUUAACUGUUUGUGGAAGUAAAGGGCAGAUAAUUCCAGGCUUCUGGGAUGACAACAAUCUGAUAUACCAGUCAUGCAUGCCAAACAUACAAAACAGACGAAAUUUAAAUCAAAAAUAAGCAUGACCUUCAAAAGCAUGUCUAUAUAUAUU